rnacentral:rRNA from 1 species
UUGGGUAGUAUAAGUUUUUCUAAAAACCUAAAGAAUUUGGCGGUGUUUUAUUCUGUUCAGGGGAACAUGUUUUUAAAACGAUAAUCCACGAUUAUUUUACUUAAUUUUGAUUGGGAACAUUUUGUAUAUCUCCGUCUGUAGAUUGUUUUAGGAAAAAUAUUUCUUAAUAAUAGUUUAUUUUAUUAAUAUGUCAGGUCAAGGUGCAGAUUAUAAUUAAGUUAAAAUGUGUUACAAUAAAUUUAUAUUUAUGGAUUUCUAAAUGUAAUUUUGGAAUAAAAUUGGAUUUGAUAGUAAAUGUGUAAUUAUUAAUUGAUUUUGAAGA